GCAUAUGAGAUAAUGAUCCCUUUCAAUAACAAAUCUUUAUGCAGAAAAUCUUAAAUCCUCUUCUCCUCCCAAUUAAAGAUCACAUUCUACUUGAUCAUGAUCCAUGUAGCAGCCUAGUACUCAAUCUUAUCCUACAACAUCUGGCCAGCAUACAAUGUGGUUAUUAUCUUGGGCAACUUUUAGCCAUUAGUUUAUAAAGCUCUCACCCCAUUUACUAAAUUCAUAGUGACAUUCACGGAUUUACCCAAUUCAAUAGCUGCUCCAACAUAGGUAUGGGGUGUUAACUCCAAAAGAUAGGAUUUUGUUUCUUUUGGCAAUGCCAAGCCUUGAAUGAACUCUCUUAUACUUUCUUUAGCAACAGCCCUUCCUCUUGUUAGCUCUUUUAGCUUCUCAUAAGGCUC
rnacentral:misc_RNA from 1 species